UACGUAGGGUGCAAGCGUUAAUCGGAAUUACUGGGCGUAAAGCGCACGCAGGCGGCGCAUUAAGUCUGACGUGAAAUCUCCUGGCUUAACUGGGAGGGGUCGUUGGAGACUGAUGUGCUUGAGGCGAUGAGAGGGGUGUAGAAUUCCCGGUGUAGUGGUGGAAUGCGUAGAUAUCGGGAGGAAUACCAGUGGCGAAAGCGACACCCUGGCAUUAGCCUGACGCUCAUGUGCGAAGGCGUGGGGAGCGAACGGG
rnacentral:rRNA from 1 species